GGGCCCGCACAAGCGGCGGAGCAUGUGGAUUAAUUCGAUGCAACGCGAAGAACCUUACCUGGGUUUGACAUGCACAGGACGUGCCUAGAGAUAGGUAUUCCCUUGUGGCCUGUGUGCAGGUGGUGCAUGGCUGUCGUCAGCUCGUGUCGUGAGAUGUUGGGUUAAGUCCCGCAACGAGCGCAACCCUUGUCUCAUGUUGCCAGCACGUGAUGGUGGGGACUCGUGAGAGACUGCCGGGGUCAACUCGGAGGAAGGUGGGGAUGACGUCAAGUCAUCAUGCCCCUUAUGUCCAGGGCUUCACACAUGCUACAAUGGCCGGUACAAAGGGCUGCGAUGCCGUGAGGUGGAGCGAAUCCUUUCAAAGCCGGUCUCAGUUCGGAUCGGGGUCUGCAACUCGACCCCGUGAAGUCGGAGUCGCUAGUAAUCGCAGAUCAGCAACGCUGCGGUGAAUACGUUCCCGGGCCUU
rnacentral:rRNA from 1 species